UCCGGCGGGAGCGCAGAGCCGCGGGCGCGGGGCGUUGGCGGGUGUGCUGUGCUCGGGUUACCGCCGGGAUGGCUCACUUGGAGAACCUGGUGCUUUGCCGCGAGUCCCAGGUGUCCACCUUACAGUCCCUGUUCGGAGAGAGACAGCAUUUCAGCUUUCCAUCGAUUUUCAUUUAUGGACAUACUGCCAGUGGAAAGACCUAUGUAACACAAACUGUGUUGAAAACUUUAGAGCUCCCACAUGUCUUCGUGAAUUGCGUUGAAUGCUUUACCUUGAGGCUGCUCUUGGAACAAAUUUUAAACAAGUUGAAUCAUCUCAGUUCUUCAGAGGAUGCAUGUCCUACUCACAUAACCUGUGAAACAUUUAAUGACUUUGUUCGCUUGUUUAAACAAGUCACCAAAGCUGAAAGUCUCAAGGAUCAGACUGUAUAUAUUCCUCCUGAAAGGGUAUCAGGGAUGCUGCUGCCACUCCCCCUCCGGGGACCACAGACCACACUUCAAAAACCAGUCAUCAAGGAAGUUCUAGAUAAAGCAGAGUAUCUAAGAGAUAUGGAAGCAAAUCUUUUGCCUGGAUUUCUCAGGUUACAAGAAUUGACCGACAGAAAUGUGACUGUUAUCCUUCUCAGUGAAAUUGUUUGGGAAAAGUUUCGUCCAAAUACUGGCUGCUUUGAACCAUUUGUCUUGUAUUUCCCUGAUUAUAGCAUAGGGAACCUUCAGAAGAUCCUGUCCCAUGACCAUCCUCCAGAGUAUUCGGCUGAUUUCUAUGCUGCCUACAUUAAUAUUCUUCUUGGGGUUUUCUACACCGUCUGUCGAGAUUUGAAAGAGCUCAGACAUCUGGCAGUGCUUAAUUUUCCUAAAUAUUGUGAACCUGUGGUUAAAGGAGAAGCCAGUGAACGUGAUACUCGCAAACUCUGGAGAAAUGUUGAACCUCAUUUGAAGAAAGCCAUGCAGACUGUUUAUCUCAGGGAAAUAUCAAGUUCACAGUGGGAGAAGAUACAGAAAGAUGACACAGAUCCAGGACAGCUGAAAGGUCUCUCGGCAUAUACUCACGUGGAGCUUCCAUAUUACUCUAAGUUUAUUCUGAUUGCUGCGUACCUCGCUUCAUACAAUCCAGCAAGAACUGACAAGAGGUUCUUCCUUAAGCAUCAUGGGAAAAUCAAGAAAACCAACUUCCUGAAGAAACAUGAAAAGACAAGCAAUCAUCUCCUUGGACCAAAACCGUUUCCGCUGGACAGAUUAUUAGCAAUAUUAUAUAGUAUCGUGGACAGCAGAGUUGCUGCGACAGCAAAUAUCUUUUCCCAGUGCCUCCGCUGCUGGGUUUCUGACCUCCAGCGUCCUCACGGUGCCCCUUGCAGUGCGGAAUGCUUUCGGAGUUGUCGUCGUACUUUCCUUCCCACUGCCUUCUUGGAGCUUCCCUUGAUUACCUCUCUAGUGACCCUUCAGCUAUUAACCCUGGUUGGCCAUGACGAUCAGCUUGAUGGACCAAAAUACAAAUGCACAGUGUCCCUAGACUUCAUCAGAGCUAUUGCUAGGUGCCUGGGCCUCACCCUGGACUUAGUGAAUGAGAAUUUCCAGGAAUGGGAUCCAAGUACUCACACUUUUAACACCACGGUCCUGCCAUAAACAAUUGGAAAACUGGGGGAGAAUAUAUGAUAGCAUGGUUUUUAGACAUUGGAUAGCAGGCUGUGCAAGACUUCGACCCACGGAAGGAGGCCAACAAAUGAGCUUCAACCUUUGAAUCAACUUCCUGACUUCCAAUUCUCUCUCCUCCAUGAUGGCCAGUGGCAAAACUAAGCCAAAGCAGCUAAUGUCUUGCAUUGAAACCCACGGUCUCGCUGUGAGGGGGUCCCCCCAAAACAUGUCUCCAAACCCACAAAAACAGAUUGACAAUGUCUUCACAUUAAAAAAUAUCCUGCUGUAGAAGUACCCGCCUCCACCGUGGGCUGUCCUGUCAUGUUGCUAAACAAAUGUCCUAACAGGCCAGUCUGGAGUGUUUGAACUGGAUUAUUUACCCACGCCCAGAUCUUCUUCCAAGGACAAUGCUCUGGAGGGAACCACUAGCAGAUGAGAGAUUUCAUCUGGUGGAAGACCUUAAUGACUACCACGAAUGGGUGGAAGUUAUAGUCCUAAAGAGUUCCGUGUAAAUGCAAAGAAGGACAAUGGUGUGGAGAGAGCUGAGCUGCGAGGCAGAACCCAGAGGGACUGUGGACUUGGGGUUGGUAGGGAUGGAAUGUGGGAAUAAGAAGGGAGUUGGAAAACACGUCAUUAAUUGGAAGUGUGUGGAAACACAAAGAACAAACUGCCUGAAGAGAAAUAGGACGAGUAGAUGAGUUCUGGCCUCUCUACUCAUUCAUUUGCCCAACGUAUAGACCAACUCUCCACUCCAUAUCCUAAAAUAAAUCCUCUGUGUUGACUCUCUCCACCUUCGCUCUACCGCCGUUACCACACAUAAACAUAGCUCUGAAGAUGCUUUUCUACUUAGGGGUGAGAAUGAGCAAGAAAAUAUACUAACGUUUGCAACAGGAGAAAAUCCAUAUCUGCUACCUAGAAAGAGUAAGCUAGUCCAUUUUCACAUGCG